GUCCAGGUCAGGGAGAAGUUUCCUGCCCACAUGGUGAGGAAGAGUUUCCAGAACAGCAACAGCUGGGCAGGGGUCAUUCUGAUGCUUCUCUCAGAAGGAAAGGGGGCUGACAGGAAAGCUGAUGCCAGGAGCUGGUUCUGGGAGCACAGUCAGGGGGUCUGGGAUCAGACGGAUUUGAAGGGAGGAGGGCCUUAUUCUGUGUGACUCAAGGACUAAGUUACUUCCCGCCCGCGGGUCCGCCGCCCAGAAGUUGAGCGGACUUUCAGAGCUUCCGCAGCCUGUGAGCUCGUCCGGGGCGGGCCGCCCCGGGCUUCGGAAAGCGCAGUCUGCCCUCCCAGGCUUGGUGGGCCGGCUGCGGCCGAGGCCAAACCCCCCGCGCCCCGGCCGGGGGCGGAGUUUCAGAAUUGGCCUGCAGCCAGAAGAUGAGGGCCUCAAUUGAGGAUUCUCAGGUAGAGCCAGCAGGUGCCCCUGGGCCCUCCCUUUCCUUCCGAACCUAAAAUGACUAACUAGUAACUGUGCAGGACCUCGUUCAUCCCUUUAGCACGUCUUCAGCUAAACCGUCAAGACAGCCCCGUGGACUAGGUAUCUUGGUCUCCACUUUUUCCCUCCCCAACCUCAUCAGUCUCUUCCCACUCAGGCCCCUGGUUAAGUCAUAGCCAAACCUCUGGGGCAUAGUAACAACCCCCUUACCUAGUACUUCUUUCCUUGGGAUUCCCCACUGCUGGCCCCCUCGGCACGUCCACUGGAUCAGCCUUCCCUUUCCACUCUGCGUUCAGCGUUUAUUGGGUGCCUGUGAGGUGCACUGGCUAUGGAGGACAGCCUGGGAGGGGGGCGGGAGGCUGAGAUAUGCUGCAAAAGUACCCACACUGAAAGACACAGAACUGAAUGUUGUAAAAGCGGGAAACAUAAAGUGCCGUCGGCAUGCAGAGGGAAGGCAGUAGCACCUUUUGUGAAAUCAGAUAUCUUUUGCGAAGCAAAGACUUCAUGGAAGGGAGGGUACUUGAACCCGGCCUCUGGGGACAGGUGGUAAGGGGACAUGCCAUGAUGUGGGGAAAAGAUUCCAAGAGGAGGACACAAGUAAGAAAGAUGCGGGAGCAGAAUGUACAGGGCAACUUGGGCAGUAGAGUCAUCGUGUCGCUGGAGACUUGAUGUGCCCCCAAGAGCUGGAGGCCCCCACAGGGGAGCCCUGAAUGUCCCCUGUGGGAGUUGGGGUUCUCUUCUGCAGGUAAAGGAGAACUCUUUCUGGGCCUGGCAGGAUCAGAGCCAUCCACUUAGGAAGAAUAAUCUGGCAGCAGUAAAGAGAAAGGAUUGUAGUUGAGAGGCAAGGAGACCAGGGCAGGUACCGUUACAAGCCCGAAAGAGCUGUGAGGGUUUCAUAUGCCGGGGGCUGUGGGGAAGAGGGAGAGCUGUGUAUAUAUCUAAAAAAAAUAAAUUCAUAUAUAUGCGCGUGUGUGUAUAUAUACAAAAAAUACAUAUAUAUGUAUGUGAUACAUAUAUACAUAUACAUAUAUAUACACAUGUAUAUAUAUGUAUAUGUAUAUGUUACAGAAUCUGAAUGGAGGGGGUACUAUCCCCAGAUGCUCUAGUCCCAGAAGGCACCUUGGUCACCGCUGUCUGUCCCUGUGCUGUCGCUUCCACUGAAAACCCGAUUCACCCAUGAAGCCACACCUCCACUAGGAAGAUUUUCUGAACAGUCUGCUUAUAGUGGUCUCUCCCACCUGAUUCAUUUAUUUAUUCAGAGGUUAUUUCGUUCAGCAAGUGUGAAUAUCACCUUCUCUGAAGAAGGCCUUGCCCUCUGGAACACUCUCGUAGCUGUGUACAUGGUGAGCCCUUUGGGGGCCAAGCCCAACUUCCUAGGAAAGCUGCCUAACAGUGAUUAAGCAGUAUCAGGCCUCUGGUGCGAUGCCUGGCCUCAGACCCUGGCCCCGCCUCUCAGGCUUAAAACUUUUCCAAGUUACCCAACGUCUAUGUGCCUCGGUGUCUUUGCCUUUGAAGCACCUCUCUCACAGGAAAAAAAAAGAUAAUAAUACCUAGUUCGUAGAAUGAGUGUGAACACAGGUCAUGCAGCAAAUACUGUCAACUAUGCGUCAGCACCAUGAAGCUUAUGUUACAGUUGGGAAGAGCGACAGAAAGAAAAUAAGCCAGCAAAUAUGUAGUUGUUGGGCGAUGGUCAACUUUUACUAAUAGGGGGAUGAGUAGUGCAGAGGCAAGGGAAAUGGAGGUGGUUAAUGGUUUCUAAAUUUUUUUUUUUUUUUUUAAUUCUGGAAAAUCCUUAGAAGAGUUGCGGAAACUAUUGUUACACACUUUUCUCCUGGAAUCAUCAGUUAGUAACAUUUUAUCACAUUUGGUUUACUUCUCUUUUUAUAUACACACCCCCACACCUACCCAGUUAACUUUUUUUUUUUUUUUUUGCUAAAUUGUUUGAUAAUUGCAGCUCUUAUGACAGCUUACCCCUAAAUAUUUCAACAUAGGUCUUCUAAGAGCAGUGUGACUCCAGUAAGCCCUGAUGCUAUUGUCACAGGCAGGAAAGAAAGCAUUGAUAACAAUACUAUUUUCAGAGAGGGCCCAGAAGCCAGUCCUGGAUCACACACCAGAUUUGGAAGUCAUGCCUCUUGAUGACGUUUCAUCUAAAAUAUCUAAACUAGGAGUUCCCGUCGGGGCGCAGUGGAAACGAAUCCACCUAGCAUCCGUAAGGACACAGUUUCAACCGUUGGCUUCGCUCAGUCGGUUAAGGAUCUGGUGUUGCUGUGAGCUGUGGUGUAGGUCACAGACACGGACGGCUUGGAUCCCGUGUUGCUGUUGCUAUGGCUGUGGCCAGCAGCUGUAGCUCCGAUUGGACCCCUAGCCUGGGAACCUCCGUAUGCUGUGGGUGUGGCCCUAGAAAAGGCAAAAGAUAAAUAAAAUAUCUAAACUAUUGCCAACUUUUUCUUUUCUGUUUUCUUUUUUAAGAGCUUUAUAUUUAUGCCAUUGCCAUUUCUGAAGGGUCUGGAUAUGUUAUUUUCUGAAAACGUCCCUCGAUUUGGAUUGCGUAUUUAGAUUUGGAUGUAAACUUUCCUGGGCAGGACCAUCUCGUGGUCGUGCAUCUCAUCAGGGUGCAGUGCAGUUCCUUUGUCUCGUUAUUAGAGACGUUAAUGUCGAUUGGUUGGUUGGUGAGAUCCACCAGAUUUCUCCACUGUAGAGAAGAAAACACGGGCAUGUAAAGACAGGAGAUUUUGUGGCUCCGUUCCAAAUGACCACAAUAAAAUGAAUGUUAUCAUAAAGCAAGUCGGACAAGUUUUUUGAUUUCCUAGGACACUGAAAAUUUCCAUGUCUGCUGCACUAUAGUCUAUUAAGUGUGCCAUAGCAUUACAUGAAAAAAAAGUACAUACCUUAAUUUUAAAAUACUUUCUCACUGAAAAAUGCAAACCACCAUCGGACAGUGCAGAGUCGUCAGGAAACUUCAAUUUGUAGAAGCAAAGCGCAAUAUCUGUGAAGCACAAUCAAAGCACAGCACAGUAAAAUGAAAUGUGUCUGUAGGAUGUGAUUCCUUAAGUGACACAUUGAGAUCGUGUGAAUAUCCUGUUCUCCAACAAUCCUUCACCCAAUAUUUUAGCACCCAGGGGUGAGUCUUCCCUGGGUCCCUUAUCACAAAAAUGCACUGAAAUGUUUGUAGAUGGCUGUUUUCUAUCCCUAUUUUUUUCUUUAUACUUUAUUGAUAGUCUUCAGCGACAAAGAGCUUUGCCCCUGCUUUUUACAUUUUUUUUUUUUUUUUAGUAUUACUAUGGACUCAUGGGUAUUUUUGAAGAUGGUGUUCCUGUCAUUAUCCAUUUUGAUGCUCAGUGAUUCCGAAUUUGACAGGUGGAAACCCCUCUGAGCUUCAAAGGGUUCUUUGGCUGUGGGUCCAUCAGUUUUGAGCACUUCCUUACUUGCCGGCAUAGAAAGAUGUUCUAGACUCAUUUUGUACCUUUCCUGCCUCAGCCAUGGAAUCGUUAAAUUCCUUUUUCCUUUUGGUGGGGUAUGGUAUUUAGAAAUUAAGAUCUGGGUGCUAGGUGGCUCAAAGCUCCUGGAAUCAUAGCUUCUAGGCCCUGUCGGUUUUCAGAGCUAGGAAAGAGUUUCCACAAAGUCAUGCAUUUAUCUUGUUACCACAAAGGCUAAUCCGACAAUUCAGCUCAUCAUUCUUUCCUCCAUUUCCCAUUAGUAUCUCCCUUCCCCACCUCGAGAAUCCUAUUCUUAGUAGUAGUGUAUUUUCCUAAUCUACAUUAAACACAAACUAGUUGCGUCAUUGCUAUGCCAAUACUACUCCCAGGCACAGCCUUUACCAAAUACAUUCAAGAUUUCUUAGCAGUUCCUUUUCUUCCAUAUAUCCCACUAAAUGUGUAGAGAACACUGUAUUUUUAUUUUAUUGUUUUAACCAUGGUGUGCAGCAGCUUGAUGUUGGAGCCCGGUUCCCAGACAAGGGCUUGCACCCAGGUUGCGGCCAUGAAAGCACAAAAUCCUAACUACUAGACCACCAGGGAACUCCCCAAAUACUGUAUUUUAAAGUUGUUUGGAUUAAUUCUUUUUCUUUUCUUCCGUGUGGUUAUGUUAUCAAGUUCAUACAUAAUUGCAGUAAUGUUUGUCAGUUUCUAUUCAACUUGAGGGGUUUUCCUCCUUAGGUUUGAUUUUUGAAUGUAUAAACUAUUAACAUGAUUCAAAUCAAAACCACGUACAGCUGGCCCUUCAUAUUUGUGGGUUCUGCAUCUACAGAUGCAAUCAACUAUAAAUCCAAAAUUUCAGAAAAAAAAUUUUCAGAAAGUCCCAAAAAGCAAAACUUGAACUUGCCACAUUCUGACAACUACUUAAAUAGCAUUUACAUUGUAUUAGGUAUUAUAAGUAAUCUAGAGAUCAUUUAAAGUAUAUGAUAGGAUGUGCACAGGUUAUAUGCAAAUACUGAACUAUUGUAUAUAAGGGACUUGAACGUCAUCAGAUUUUCGUAUCCACUGGGGUCCUGGAGCGAGUUCCCUGUGGAUACUGAGGGAGACUGUAAAAUGUUAUGCUCAGGCAGUUUCCUUGUGGUGCAGCAGGAUAAGGAUCCAGCAUUAUUUCUGCAGUGGCUCUGGUGGCUACUGUGGCUUGGGUUCCAUCCCUGACCUGGGAACUGUUAUAUGCCAUGAGUGUGGCCAAAAAAAAAAAAAA
rnacentral:lncRNA from 1 species